rnacentral:rRNA from 1 species
GACGAACGCUGGCGGCGUGCUUAACACAUGCAAGUCGAACGGAAAGGCCCUGCUUUUGUGGGGUGCUCGAGUGGCGAACGGGUGAGUAACACGUGAGUAACCUGCCAUUGACUUUGGGAUAACUUCAGGAAACUGGGGCUAAUACCGGAUAGGAGCUCCUGCUGCAUGGUGGGGGUUGGAAAGUUUCGGCGGUUGGGGAUGGACUCGCGGCUUAUCAGCUUGUUGGUGGGGUAGUGGAUUACCAAGGCUUUGACGGGUAGCCGGCCUGAGAGGGUGACCGGCCACAUUGGGACUGAGAUACGGCCCAGACUCCUACGGGAGGCAGCAGUGGGGAAUAUUGCACAAUGGGCGGAAGCCUGAUGCAGCAACGCCGCGUGCGGGAUGACGGCCUUCGGGUUGUAAACCGCUUUCGCCUGUGACGAAGCGUGAGUGACGGUAAUGGGUAAAGAAGCACCGGCUAACUACGUG